GAGAAAGAAAAGGAAGCUGGAUUGGAGGAGUCUAAGUCAAGCAUAAAUAAAUCUGGGACUAUGAGGGUCAAUCCUUCCAUUUAUAAAACAGGCAUGGAUUCAAAAGCACUGAGACACGCAAGGCUAUCCUUGCUGCUGCAGGUGGCAAACUUGCAUUCAGCUUGAAAUAGAAAUCUAAACUUGAGGCAGCCCCGUUAAGUUGGGUGCUGAUGAGGAUGAAGAUGAAGGGGAUGCGAAAAUGGGUCAAGAGAUGGACCGCCAAAGCGGCAGAGUUGGAUCAACCAAAUGCAUCCUGCUCCAUUGCCAUGUAAAGGGGAUGUUGCACCACCUUCCCCAAGCGAUCCUGGAGUGAAGAAAGUUGCAGACAAAUUAGCAAGUUUUGUAGC